CAGCAUCCUGCUACUGGAUAUGUAGAUAAAAGAGAAGUAUUAUAUCUUUGAGAUAUGGAAUCAAUUUAAGUGCUGCUCUAAGCAUACAAGUGCAGGUGAAAUGCUUAUUGCAGUGCUGCGAAAAGGUGAGGUCACAGGACGCAAACCCGUAUCUGAGACCUGGAUGCCUCCCUCCACGCACUCACCCACUGGCUGUCCUGAGCAUCACCCUGCACCUAUUGUCCCAGCAACAAGGGAAAAAUCAUGUUCAAGUGAUUCCUGUGCCUCAGCCUCCUUAGUAGCUGGGAUUAUAGGUGCGCACCACCAAGCCCAGCAUUUCUCCAGGCCAGCCCACCACCACUGGAC